CUCUACCCCACCUUUCCUUCCUUCCUUUGUCAGCCAUUUGUCAAGCAUCUAUUAUGUGCCCGGUAGUAGGGAUACAUGAUCAAAACCGGACACAGUCCCUCUCCUCCCAGAUCUUACUGGUAGGAGAGACACCAAAUAGGUCACUGCAACAGAAUGUUGUGGGAGGGUGAGGGAGUAUAGAUCUGGAGGUGGAAAGUCCAGUGAGAGGGCUAGUGUGGUUGUCCAGGGAAGAGAUGAUACUGGCUUGAGCUAUAGUGGUGCCAGAUUCAAAAGCCAUUUAAAAAGUAGGAUUGAUACGACUGGAGGAUUGAUUAACUGAAGAUAGGAAAGGGAGAGGGUUUACUCAUUGUCAGGGAAGAGGGAGCCAGGCAGGAGAAGCCUGACCCAGUUACGAAGCCCGGAUUGUCCUUUGGGGUGGUAGAAGAGGGGAGGGUUUCUGGCCCAGUGCCCCAUGCAUGGGCUGGUGUCAGAAUCCUCGACAGAGAACAGAAAAAAACUGUGAACAAAAACUCAAAGAGCAGCUAUGACGAAAAACUGCAAGUGCAGUUGUUGGGUUGCAAGGCAAUGCAGUUUUGGUCUUUAUGUCAGAGGGAGAGGCACCCUCCUCCUAAGACAGCCUUGGCUUUGGCACUCAGCAGGAAGUCCACUGCCAGACGCGUUAGUUUCCUGGGGCUGCGGUAAUCAAGUACCAUAUACUUGGUGGCUUGAGCAACAGAAACUUAUUCUCUCACAGUUUUGGAGGCUGAAACUAAAAAGUGUUAGUCAGGCACUCAGUUGUGUCCGACUCUUUGUGACCCUAAGGACUGUAGCCCUCCAGGCUCCUCUGUCCAUGAAAUUCUCAGGCAAGAAUGCUGGAGUGGGUUGCCAUUCCCUUCUCCAGGGAUCUUCCNNNNNNNNNNNNNNNNNNNNNNNNNNNNNNNNNNNNNNNNNNNNNNNNNNNNUCUGUGCAACCAGGAAAACCCUAGAAGUCCCAGAUCCAGGUGUCAGCAGGGUUAGUUCCUUCUGAGGUCUGUGGGGGAAAAUUGUUUCUUGUCUCUCUCUUUAGCUUUUAAAUGGCUGUCUUCUCCCUGUGUCUCUCUUCUCCCUGACUUCCUUCUGUGUGAGUUUGCCUCUGUGUUCAAAGUUCCCUUUUUAUAAAGACACCAGUCAUACUAGAUUAGGGCCCACCCUAAGGACCUCAUCUUACUCUGACCACCUCUGUAAUAGGUGGUCCCAUUAAAGUCACAUUCUAGGGUGUUGGAGAUUUGGGAGAUGCAGUUCAGCCCAAAACAGCAAGUAUGCCCAUAGUACUAGCCCCAGGACAACUAGUAUGGGACCCUAUAGGAGCUGGCAGGUUGGGAGUUGUGACUCAUAACCUGACAAUUUUUAAAGCAGGUGUUUAAAAUAAACUUUUAUGGACUCCCAGAAAAAUUCAGAACAAGUCUUCAGAGAUGGGGAUCUAUACAUUACCAGGAAUGGACAAAACCAACAAAACAAGUCGAUACAUUAGAAUAGAUGUAUAUAUAUUACACUGGUGAGUGAACUUGCUGAUGUAGUCAUUGUCCUUGGUUUGGCCUUGAAUUUGUCUUCAGAGUUUGUGAAAGAGAAAUGCCAAAAGGGCAGCACCAACUUUGACCUUGAGAACAAAGAAUGAAAUGCAGCUGUAGUUUGUCACCCUGCCAGGCUUAACAGCCAUUGUUUUGACGUGCUAAUAUUUACUGACAAGGACAAAAGCCAUCAGUUCCUAUAAACAACAGACACACCAAGUUGAACAUAGAUGUUUCAAGCAGGAAGAAAAGUAAUUCUGCUUUUCUAAUAGUUGAUGGAUAAUUUAUGCCUAUGUGUUACCUCUGUUUUACACAGUGAAAGCGCAGAAGACACAAUUCCGUGAUCUAAAAACGUAUCAUCAUAAAAAGACAAAUAGCCAAUUUAAAAAUGGGCAAAGAAUCUGAAUAGACAAUUUUACAAAGGUGAUAUACAAAUGGACGAUAAGCACAUGAAAAGAUGUUCAACAUCACUACCUAUCAGGGAAAUGCUUAUCAAAACCACAGUGAGAUUCCACUUCAUACCUAUUAGGAUGACUAUAAAGAAAAGACCAACAAUAGCCAGUGUUGAUGAGGAUGUGAAGAAGUAGGAGCCCUCAUACAUUGCUGGUGGGACUGUCAAAUGCUAUAGUCACUUUGGAACACAGUCUGGCAGUUCCUCAAAAAAUUAAACAUAAAUCUUAUGACCCAGCAAUUCCACUCCUCAGUAUACAUCCAGGAGAUUUGAAAACAUGUCUACACAAAAGCUUGAAUAUCCAUGCCCACAGCAGGGUUAUUCACAGUAGCCAAAACAUGGAAGUAACCCAAAGUUCAUCUGUUGAUGAGUCGAUAAACAAACUGUGGUAUAUCUAUAUGUUGGGAAAUUGUUUGGUCCUAAAAAUAAAUGAAAUAAUGCUGCAUACUGCAGCUUACAUGAAUCUUGAAAACACUGUGCUGAGAAAUAGAAGCCAGAUACAAAGGACUCUACACUGUAUGAUUAAUUUAUGUGAAAGGUCCAGAAUAGCCAAAUCUAUGGAGAGAAAGUAUAGAUUCGUGGUUGCCUAAGACUGGGUGGGGCUGGGGACUUGGGAAUGACUACUGAGGGAAAAACGUGUUUUCCUAUUUAGAUGAUGAAAAUCUUCUAAAAUUGAUUGUGGUGAUGGUUGCACAGAUCUGUGGAUAUUCUAAGGCCAUUGAAUUAUAAACUUUAAGUGGGUGAAUUGUAUGACAUGUGAAUUAUGUACUUCUAACUGUAUGGAUGUGAGAGUUGGACUGUGAAGAAGGCUGAGAGCCUAAGAAUU
ensembl:lncRNA